AGAAUCAACGCUGGCGGCGUGCCUAACACAUGCAAGUCGCACGAGAAAGGGACUUCGGUCCUGAGUAAAGUGGCGCACGGGUGAGUAACACGUGAAUCAUCUACCUCCGAAUGGGGAAUAACUGAGAGAAAUCUUAGCUAAUACCGCAUAAUACCUACGGGUCAAAGCAGCAAUGCGUUUGGAGAGGAGUUCGCGGUCGAUUAGUUAGUUGGCGGGGUAAUGGCCCACCAAGACGAUGAUCGAUAUCCGGCCUGAGAGGGCGCACGGACACACCUGGAACUGAAACACGGUCCAGACUCCUACGGGAGGCAGCAGUGGGGAAUUUUGCGCAAUGGGGGAAACCCUGACGCAGCAACGCCGCGUGGAGGAUGAAAUAUCUUGGUAUGUAAACUCCUUUCGAUGGGAAGAUAAUGACGGUACCCAUAGAAGAAGCCCCGGCUAACUUCGUGCCAGCAACCGC
rnacentral:rRNA from 1 species